rnacentral:rRNA from 1 species
UAGGGAAUCUUCGGCAAUGGACGAAAGUCUGACCGAGCAACGCCGCGUGAGUGAAGAAGGUUUUCGGAUCGUAAAACUCUGUUGUUAGAGAAGAACAAGGACGUUAGUAACUGUACGUCCCCUGACGGUAUCUAACCAGAAAGCCACGGCUAACUACGUGCCAGCAGCCGCGGUAAUACGUAGGUGGCAAGCGUUGUCCGGUUUUAUUGGGCGUAAAGCGAGCGCAGGCGGUUUCUUAAGUCUGAUGUGAAAGCCCCCGGCUCAACCGGGGAGGGUCAUUGGAAACUGGGAGACUUGAGUGCAGAAGAGGAGGGUGGAAUUCCAUGUGUAGCGGUGAAAUGCGUAGAUAUAUGGAGGAACACCAGUGGCGAAGGCGGCUCUCUGGUCUGUAACUGACGAUGAGGGUCGAAAGCGUGGGGAGCAAACAGG